GGUAGCUUAAAGAAGCAGCAUAGGUUUUAGGUGAUCCCUCAGCUUAACACAAGGGGAAAAUACUUUAUAGGCUGGUUUGCAAACUAUCAUUUGCUGUUUAGUCAAGGCUGCCAAGAAAACUGUUGGAAUUCUUAGUAAUUAGCUCAGCAGCUUGGCUUGAAUUCAAAAUACCAGCUCUGAAGGGAUCCCCAUAUCAGCUCCAGCGCCAAAAGCACCUCACUUUAGGGACACACUGAGUAUCUUAGAGAUUGUUUUCCUCUGUUCUCCCAGACCUAUGACAUGGAGCACACUUUCUACAGCAAUGGAGAGAAGAAGAAGAUUUACAUGGAAAUUGAUCCUGUGACCAGAACUGAAAUAUUCAGAAGCGGAAAUGGCACUGAUGAAACAUUGGAAGUACACGACUUUAAAAACGGAUACACUGGCAUCUACUUCGUGGGUCUUCAAAAAUGUUUUAUCAAAACUCAGAUUAAAGUGAUUCCUGAAUUUUCUGAACCAGAAGAGGAAAUAGAUGAGAAUGAAGAAAUUACCACAACUUUCUUUG
rnacentral:sRNA from 1 species